UACGUAGGCAGCAAGCGUUGUUCGGAGUUACUGGGCGUAAAGGGUGUGUAGGCGGUUCUUUAAGUUUGGUGUGAAAUCUCCCGGCUCAACUGGGAGGGUGCGCCGAAUACUGAGGGACUAGAGUACGGGGAGAGGAAAGUGGAAUUCCUGGUGUAGCGGUGAAAUGCGUAGAUAUCAGGAGGAACACCGGUGGUGUAGACGGCUUUCUGGACCGUAACUGACGCUGAGGAGCGAAAGCGUGGGGAGCGAACAGG
rnacentral:rRNA from 1 species